CCGCCCAUAGCUCAGUUGGUAGAGCAGCGGCCUUUUAAGCCGACGGUCGUAGGUUCGAUCCCUACUGGGCGGA
rnacentral:tRNA from 8 species